rnacentral:misc_RNA from 1 species
AGUCGCCUUCUUGCUAGCAGUCAGUUAAGAAGUGCCUGUCCUACUAGUGCCAGCCAAAUUCUAGCUGAAUCAAAUGAAGUCGCUCUCGCUUAGAUAUGGUUUAAUUCUUUUCCUAUUAAUCAUAGAUAGUCUAGAUUCAGCAGCGGUUCCUAAAGGUGGUGCCGGAUCUGGAGGUCGCGGAGUCAAAGGAAUGCGCCACAAAGCGGGCGGGAGAAAGGCAGGAGAACGUCGUCCCGUAUUAAGUAGCGCUGGCAUUCGAGCGGGAGCAAAUACGGUCGUUCAAGAGUCUCCGACGCUGACAGCAGUCGGGGUCGGAGUACACCCGUUGGGUAACAGAAAAACAGAAGAAUCGGAAUCUUACUACAACAAUCCAAAUGGAGCCAAAGUGAUAGACGCGUCUCACUUCGAAUCGGAAUACAUUCUCGGUCGGAAGUUGGCAUUUUACUGUAAGGCACAAGGCGUUCCACGCCCGCACAUAACCUGGCUUAAGGACGGUAUCGAACUGUACGCCCAUCCAUUCUUUCAAGUGCAUGAAUACAAAGUUGGCAAAGAUUUGAUCAAGUCCAAGAUGGAAAUCGAUCCAGCAACGCAAAAGGAUUCUGGUUUCUACGAAUGCCAGGCGGACAAUAAGUACGCCAUUGACAAGAGAGGAUUCCGUACCGAUUACACGUUAGACGUUUACUAAAAAUCGGCUUCUUCGGAUGUUAAAUUAAAGCUUGGAAAUAUGAAACGUUGAAAUUAGUACACUCUGGAGACCUAUAUUGUCUCGCGGCGGUAUAAAGGCCACUGCCCACUUGCCACUUUCGUCUUCGUAAAUUUUUAAAAGAUCAAACUUUGCCAACUGUUAUAGCACUUUUGGGGAUUCAUCGGCUAUUCAAGUCACGCAGACUAUAUUCUACACGAACGCCGUCCCAAACGAUUGUAUCUACUUAUGUUUUGUUUGGUUCUUCUUGAACGAGAUAUAAAUGUACUCGCCACAUCUUAAUGUCUUUUGUUACUUGUGUUUGAGCAAUCUAUCGCAGUUUAAAUAAAUACGAAGAAUGUUA